rnacentral:lncRNA from 1 species
GUUUUAUCAAAAAUAUUUUUGCUUUUCGACGUUUUUGCAGUAAAUUCUCGUUGUUUUUUUUAUAUUUUUUCGACUUUUGACCAUUGGUUCAAAGAUUUAAAAGUCGUACACGCUAUUCUCACCCGCGAAAGACAAAAAACCGAUAUGAAAGCCCCGAAAAAUUUAGGCAAAGACGAUAUUUGAUGGCACAGCUAUUCAGGUAAAUUUUCACAUACUAUUGAUAUGCUUUUAUUUUUAAUUUUUGAAUGAUAGUGGGAGUAAAUGGUAGAAUAUAAUCCAUUAGAUAACAGGCUCUUUGUAUAGUAUAAUGUAUUAUUUUCCGCCGUGUACUCAAAGUCUUGUCGUAGGCUACUGACAAAUACAGAAACUUUGUUUUUAUAUUCAAAGUUUUUUUUGUUUUUUUUUUACUUUACUAGCUUUGUUAAAUUGUUGGCGGACCAUGGUUUUUGUUAAACAAAUUUUGUUUUAUUUAAUUCAGUUAAAUCAGUUUUUUCCCUCAAAUCAAAGGGGUUUUCUAUAUAGACUAUAUGGACUGAUGGCUGAAAUCUGACAUGCUUGAUUUUAUGCAAUUGUAUGUGCUAAAUAAGUGUAUAUACAGGUAUAAAGGCAUGAAACAAUGUGCUUCUAUCUAUAUUCUUUGUGUUUAUAUAUGCUAGAGUCCGUGUUUAUUAUAGUAUGCAUAAUCUAGGGUGCCAGUAGAAGCUAGCCUAGGGGUGCCAGAAGCUCAGGAUACUGUGGCCAACUUAUCUGGUAAUAUGAUUUCUACCUAGAUUUCUGACUGUCAUGUUGAAUUGAGGAUUCUUGAACCACUAGAAAUAGGAUUGUACUUCCUGAAUGUUGGGUACGAAUCACAAGUGUAGGUAUAAGCAAAGUAUCUAGAUUAUAGGGUUGCACUGGAUCUCAUUAUACAGGCCAGAACUGAGAAAGUCACACAUGCUAGUCAGACAUCAAGUCAGAAACAAUUUAAUUGGUAGAUAAUGUCACUUCCAGUCCAUGCAGGUGGAUUUAUUUGGGGUUUUGUUCAUUUCAGUCCUCUCUCUGUGCACCCCUGUAUGAUGCAACUACCUGAAACUAACUAAAUCAAUGAACUUCAACAUUUCAGGUGAAAGACCUAUAGUAUUAUUUUUGAGGUAGUUGCAUGCAUGAUACAUUUAAGCCUUUAAAUAGUGUGGUGGCUUAAGCUGUUUUCUCAUUUCCUUUCUUCACUUCUUUUGUCUGUAGUGAAAACUUUAAUUUACAACAUUUUAAUUAUAUAAUCUCUUUUUGGUCUAAUUGCAGAAUUAUUUGAUGGUGAUACAGUUCAUAGUAAUUCAACCUCUUUAUUAAAGAAUUAUCAAUUAUUAGAAAGAAUUAAUUUUGUUAGCAGUGAUAUAACUAUCCAGACAAGUUAUUAUUAUGACUUUGUAGCCAGAUGGGUAUGAUUUUGCUUUGGCUGUUCAGCAUUUUGAUCCAUUGUGAUAUGUCUUGUGGUACCUGUGAAUGAUUUUACCUGCAAAAUGAAUGACAGAAUAUCAGAAUGUAACAUUACAUUAAGAUACAUCCUUACACUGCAAUAUAAUUAUGUAAAUAUAGAUGUUCAGUGUGAAGAAUAUGGUCUUUGACAUUCUUUGUAUAUAAUAAACAUGUUAUUGUGAAAUGGAAAUGAUCAAAUAAAGUUAUUUCUGCAACAGCCCUUGCAUUCAAACACCUUAUUUGUAUUUUUCUUGUUCAUGCUUGAGCAUCAGCCUCAGGAUAAGCAAAUUCCAUUGGAUUUGUGAGAGCACUUGAACUAUAUUGGGUCAUUACAUGAAUUACAGAAAAGAUUCAGACUCCCACAGCCUGUGCUACAAAACAGGUUACAGCUGUGACAAUGUAGAGGGGUGAUCCAAAUAAUAAAAAUGAUGUUUAAUAUGGACUUAAAAUUAUUAAGCAAUUGAGUGCACCAGUACUUUCCUCUUUAACAAAUAAAAUUAUCUAGCAUUGGACUGAGCAAGAUAACAAAGUAGGGCACAGUGCCCCUUAAUUAAUCACUUAAUUAAAGGUUUAAAUGCUGAAUUUUUUGAAAGUGCCAGAGUGGCAACUGGCAGGCUAUACUGAAAAGGUAGGUUGUGGACAUGCAUCCUAAGU